rnacentral:miRNA from 1 species
AACAAAACUUGGGAUGUAUGUAUGUGCAUAUAUAUAUAUAUAUAUAUACAUAUAUGAAUAUAUACACAUGCACACACAAAGACAUUUGUAUAAAGAAAUGGCUUACAUGGUUAU